UGGUGCAAAAACGGGUGCGCCCGAACCAGGAAGCUCGGCGCCACGCCAGGCGCUCGCCCCGACCCGCCUUCCUCCGCCGCCUCGCCGCAUCUGCCGGCCUCACCGGAGAUCACCGCCGCCGCGACCAGGUCACGUCGCUGCACCUGCCUUCUCCUCAUCCCUCUCAUUCCUUCCUCCCUCUCACCAUCUCUCUCUCUCCCUCUCAUUGCAGCGGCGCCAUGGCCGCCCCGAGCUUCGCCGGCAGCCGCGUCGCCUGCCUCCGGCCACGACUCUGGCGGGAUCCAGCCGCCCCUGCCCGGAUCCGCAUCCUCCGCUCCGCCGUGCCCCCGAUCCGGCCACCACCAAGCCUCCCGCAUUGAUCCGCCCGUCCACCGGCCUCCCCCUGCUCGAUUCGGUUUGACGAGCGAAGUUAAAUGUCUUGUGGUGUCGAGGAUAAUAGUUUUUUUAGCUCCCGCAUGGUGAGUUGAGGAGGUUCUAUUUAGUUUUUGAUCUGUCGUGAGCGAUUCCUGUAUGGAAUUGGUAGAUCUUUGUGAAAAUUCGUACAUAUCUCAGUGCUCUGCGUUCUACUCCUGUAUGGAGUACUUGUUACUGUCGCUUUAGUCCUUUCAUUCUUUGAUCCUUAAAUGUGAGUUGCUGCGGUGAAUUAGCAGCUCAUUGGUGAAUCCAUGAAUCGGCGGUGAUGAAUUAGCAACUUGAUCUUGAACUUCAGGUAAGUUCACGUGGACACUAUAUCAAUCCUGAUGCACAAUUUAUUCUUAUUUAUUCAAUUCCAAUCGGCAUCUUCUCUGUCGUAAAAAUAUAUGGUUUUGCCUAGAAGGAUGGUACCAAAAAAGAGUGAAUCCACCAUCUUCUUUGAAUGCCACAUUGUGAAACCUUUUCAUCUCUGGCUGAUCUGUCUUUGCCCACCCUUACUCCUCGAUGCGCCUCCGUGUAGAUGACUAAGCUAUUUAUUCUGUUUAUUUGCAGGUGAUAUGAUGCGGCUGGUUCCGGGUUCUGUGCUCUUCUGAAGGUGAACACAUGCCAGGAAGGAAAGCUUCUCUGGUCGUGGCGCGGCAUAGGAUGGAUUGAUGGUUGCUUCCUUUCGAACCACACAAACCCCUUCUAGCAUGGUCGAGAUGAUCAAAAUGGAGGAGGGUCUCAGUAUGUGGCUGUUUGUUUCCUUGGUACUGAAAUGCUAUCAAGCAGCUGGCUUCAGUGGCGGAGCUUCCUGUAGACCAACAGACACCAGAAGACAUCAUAAUGACCUGCAGGUUAGGGAGGAGGGUCGGGGCAACCACGAAUUCCGUCCUGCACUGCUUCAACACCGGCUUAUUCUAGCAUGAAUCUUCUACCGUAAGGAUUUGAUGCAGCAAGGGCCAUUUGUUUGACAGAAAUAGAGUUGUUACCGCAAGAGGUACAAAUCAAGGACUGAGGAGGGACGAGUGCGGAUUUGAUCUAAGUUGGGUUACUUUCUAUGAAUAGAUGGUGUGAUUGCUUUGUCAUUUCAUUUAAUUAAUAGAAAAUUGAUGAGGCAAUUGGAAGAAUCGAGCAGCAAUUUUACUACAGAUCUGCGCCAUUGAUUUGGUCAUCUCUGUCAGUAGCAAGUUGCAUAAGAAAGGGUGGUGGCGUUGCAGAGGCGUGAAUGAAAAAGUUAGUCUGGGAUACAAUUAUAAUUGUGAGUCCCUCAAUUAUAGAGCUGAUCCAGGUGAAAGAUGUAGGUGGUGUGUGGAUUGAACUCUAGAUCGGGAACCUGCAGUACUAGAUGGACGAUAACUAUGCUUACAAUUAUUGAUCGAGAACUGUGAGGUAUGUGCCUGUCCCUCUUCCACCCAUAUCAACAUGUAAUUUUGUAAGAAGCUAAUUUAGUAUAGCAAGAACAUCAUGUUUUAGACACAGACUGCAGAUCGAUGUACUUUGUCCGUCUUUCCUUCACCAAAGCAUGCGUUGUGAGAUCAUGAUUACUACCAGGUACAACAUUGCAAUUUAUUUUCCAGAAUGUUCCUUGAACACACUCCCAAGUUACCAACCAUCAGCAAUUAUAGUCUCCUCAAUUCGGAUGCAUAGGAAUGCAACUUUUAUCCGAAUGUGCAACAAAAGCAUGUUGUUUGUAUCUGUUGACCAUUGAAAUCCCAAGACCAAUGCAUGGAGAAGUAGCCUGUGAACCCUAAGUUAUUUAUUGAGAAAUUAAACCACAUAUUUGACUACUUAUUGAUCUCCGAUCUCUAUAAAUUAUCCUUAAUCUGUUUUUUGUGAAGACAGCGGAUGAGAAAGAAACAGUAUCCAGGACCGUGUACUAUACUAACAUUGUAAUUAUGGGUCCAUGCCACCUAUUUCUAUUUUGAAGCUGUUCUUUUAGGAACAGAUGAUUACACAUGACGUAAUGUUUUCCAUGACUAUGUACUAUACUAACAUUAGAAAUUAUGGGUCCAUGCUAGGUAUUUAUAUUUUGAAGCAAUUCCGUCAGGAACAGAUGAUCACACAAUAUCUUUUGAUAAAUCCUUUUUACCUAGCUUCUGAUUUCUAUUAUCAGAAACAGAUUGUCUGUUCUUACAGGAAACAUGUACAAACAGCCGUUAUUCGUUAUUGUGCUCUUCCAUGUUGCGCCGCUGACAAGAGGAUGGAGGGUUUUAGUCGUCGUCGCGGAGAAGAAGGGUAACCACCAAGCAGGAGAGAGGGAGGAAAGCUAUGCCCGUUCGCUGGAAGCCAGGCAACCCGGCGCCAUCGUCGAGGAGAGCGAGGAGGGGCUAGAUUGCGCCGCCAUAGAGGUGAGCUAUGAGGGGCUGCGGCGUCCCUGCAUAGGAGGGGGGAGAGAAGCCGCCACCACACCACGUGAUUCUACUUGAAACUCCUCGGAGCUUGCACCAGGCUCAAGCGUGAGUCCACUGAUCUUCAUAUUCAGGCUGCAACAUUUUCUGAAUUUUAAGUUUGGCUGAAGAUGCUCUUACUCGUACACUAGAUCAACUGUACAAAUUGCUCUAAAUGUACUGCUUGACUGCUUGUCUUUAUUUUAAUCA